CCAACAGUCUCUAACUCUCUCCCUCAAUGGCUCUUUCUUUCUGAUAUACAGAGCAGAAAAAUCCUCUGCAGCUUUUUCUGUUUUUCCAGGAGGAAGAGGAACCGUUGAGGGCAGAGCGUUAGAGACUGUUGG
rnacentral:pre_miRNA from 1 species